rnacentral:rRNA from 1 species
UACAGAGGUGGCAAGCGUUGUUCGGAAUUACUGGGCGUAAAGGGCGCGUAGGCGGUUCGUUAAGUCCUGUGUGAAAUCCCCCGGCUCAACUGGGGAACUGCACAGGAAACUAGCGGGCUUGAGUUCGGGAGAGGGAAGCGGAAUUCCGGGUGUAGCGGUGGAAAUGCGUAGAUAUCCGGAGGAACACCGGUGGCGAAGGCGGCUUCCUGGACCGACACUGACGCUGAGGCGCGAAAGCUAGGGGAGCAAACAGG